AAUCAGGUAUAGUAAAGCGCGUAGGUUUUAGGAAAUUCAUUUUUAUUCAAGUUUUAUAAAUAUUUCCAUGAAUUGGGUAAAACCAUAAUUACUAACAUUAUCUGAUAUUUUUUAAGCCCGUGCGACUACCGUUAUACCUAGAUAUUUAUAAUUCAUAACAGGGUACAACUAGGAUGUAAUUAGAUAUAACGUGACACAGAGUACGUUGGUAUAGGUUUUUAUUUCUUUAUAAUACACGAAGAAGACAAAAGCGUGACGAUAUUGGCAAGCGAUCGUCGUUUCCAAUUCCUACAGACGCAAACGUAAAGAUUCGCUGACGUUUCUUGCAGCGAUCACGAUAAAGGCGGUCGGAUGUAGAAUCCCCGUUUCAUUUAAUAAUCACGCUCGAUUAAUAUAAAUUGCCUGGCGAUGGCGGAGCGUCGGUUACACCAUAUUUUUUGCGCAACCGGCAAAGAAUCAUCGCUAGCCAUAGUCCCGCUAAAUUAGGAUUAAGAACUUUAGCGGCUGCAUGGGUGAGCACGACUAACAUCGCUACUUAGGCAAGCAUUUGCCCGGAACACGUUUCGCUCUGACCCAUUGCGAUAUACGGAGCACGGAUGACGAUGGGCAUGAUUUCUAGGCCGAGGACACGAUCUGCCUACGUGUACGAAGUUGUUCGUGAAAAUGACGAUAUCGUCGAUGGAAUACAGAUACAGUUGGAUGCUCUCGCGAGGCGAACGACUAGCGCGCAAUCUAGCAAAUCGACGUAUUACCGCCGCGUCGCUCGUACGUUUCGUACCCUCUUACUCGAUCUUCGUUGUCUCGAUGAUGUACAGCGGCAGAUCGCAUCUGAGCCUGUGCCGUGCAAAUUUAUUCGCCUAGUUGGAUGCUGCAAAUUGGAAGAACGAUAUGAUGCAUCGAUUUCUGUCACGGUUCUACGUUUUACUCGCAACCACGUGCCAACCAUCGUGAAUUUUGCUUCGCGUUCAGCGGAGCACGAAUUUUUCGUUGCACCUACCUUUUUCAAGUUUUCCUUGCCGGGCUGGAAAUAAACGAACGUGGGAAUCGCGGUCGUGUACACGGGUCUGUCUAACUGUUCGAUUAUAGAUAAACGUUUGGCUUCUCGAUCUUCGGCCACGUAAGUACGUUCGACGGAUCUAUAUCGUUCCGCCUUCCGUUUUUUUCUAAUUCCCUUUUACGCCGACGUACACGGCGAUGUUCGCGAAACACUCGCGGCAGUUAGUGCGCUCUCACUGAUUGCUGAAAGAACGUUGCUAAAUCGACGAUUUAUUAUUGCUCGUGUAGUAAUAACGUAGCCGAUGCUAGCGUACCACAGUUGCUGAGAUGCACCCGCUAUGACAACGUUGCGGUAAUAUGAAUUGUUGGCCCAGAUUCGAAUGUGUUUAUCAUCGGGGCACGUCAUUGAUUGGACCGUUGCAACACCGGCCGCCGCGUAACCAAAAAGAAAAAAGAAGAAAAAAAAUUGAACUUCCAAGUAGUCGAUGUUGUAGCGUGCGUUGAUCGAUAAGAUCUCUCACGUGAUGAAGAACGAAAGCUUGCGCUUUUUCUUCGGCUAAUUUACCAACGUUCCGUUUCUUGAACUCAGACAUAGGUAUCUGUUAACGAUCUUAAAGCGUUACCGAUACAGCGCUAUGCAAAAGUUCCGCGUUAACUGCUUAAACGUUAGUCUCACGUGAACUGAUAUUUUAGUUUUUUCUCGUAAAGAGAACUUUCAAAAACUACCGUUAUAGAUAGAACUGCGAUCCUUUGGAGAGUAACCGAACUUCCUGAAAUACUGGAACGAGGCUGACAGAAAAUAUAAAAUUAGAUUAAAUUAUUCCGAAUUGUUAUUAAUACACGAUUCUAAAACUUUAUCUCCGAGAAAAUGAUUGUCGCUAAGAGAGCAAAAAAAGAGUAUAUAAAAUAUCGUUUACUUUAAAUUAUUCAAUAUCUUUUUAAGCAAUUACGAGAAAUAAAAUGAAGACAAUAGCGAGGAUCCUUAUAUUUAUUCCAAAAACAUUUUUUUAUAAUUCUGUAUUUGCUAACUAUCUGAUCGUGCAUUAUGGCAGCAAAACUUACGCAACUGUUACGAACGUGUACCUUCCUGAUAAAUGUAACGAAAAAUUUGUAUGUGUAUUGAGAAAGUCUAGUUCCAUUAGAAUUCGGUACAGAGAAGUUACGUUGAUCGACGUUAAAUUAUCGAGUCGUACGGACUCGAGCACAAUAGAGGAAUCAAUUAAGAAACAAUCAUCGAGUCGAUCGAUAUGCUUACUUUACAUCAACCAGACUAUACGCUUCAUUCAUCAUGCUCGUAUCCGAGCGACGCUAAUUUUACGGAUUUCGAAGCAGUUUCUCCGAACAGCCUCUAGAAACCUAUCGAUAAAUCCUAAUUUAUACUCUGAUGCGAAUGCGACGGUUCAUAAAUUCGCCCGAAGGAUUCAACGUUUAAUUCCCAAGUUAACGAUAGCGAUAAAACUUUCCAGUCAAUUAUCGAUCAUCCUCGCCUCCGUCAUCCAAACGAACUGAAAGAUUUUACAGCGAAGGAUCGCGUUUACCGAAUCGCGGUUGAUCGCCAGCGAGUUGAGCUCCUUUCGAUCCAGUUGAGCGAUUUGCAUCGUUGAAACAAUGGUAACCGCGGCGCGGCGCCAGGGGAAUUCUGUCGAGAGACGAGCAGGACGACGUCUCCGUUCCAGGAAAAAGCGAACAGCGCUCGCUGUGUUCUCGUUUUCGGCGCGUUGUGAUUUCCAUAGCACGCAGCAGAUGAACGGCCCAGGGACUAGCUAGGAAGAAGUGGAGAUGGAAAGGAGGCUAGAUUAGCGUGGGGUAGGAAAAAGCGAAAGUCAUGUCAGACCAAUCGCAGCUGAGACAGACGGAGCAUUGUGCGCAUCUCUGCCCUAGAUAAUUAAUAUCCGUGGUCGGUAGUUUUCUGCGGGCGAGCGCGGUGCAUCGCGCCGACAUAGUCUCCGCGCCACGUCGAUUGCUUCAUUUUCCCGUCGAGCUAAUUGAUUAAAGGGAUUAUUAUUACGACGCCGUGAGCAGGAUGCUCCGUCGACCGGCACACAGCCGAUUUCCUCGCCUCGUCGCCACUCUCGUUUAUGACAGCCGGUGUGUUGCAAUGCCUGAUUUUUCCACCCUUUUUGUCUCGAUUGUUCCGAUCAUCUCGCUACGCACAUGAAUCUCCUUUUCGACGAGCGUUCACGACGCCUUUCGAACGCGUGAGAAUUAUGGUGUUCGGUGAAUGGUUGAUACAGUUGAACGCACCAACUUGCGAACAAAAUCUUUUGUAUGAUCUUCAGCGACUCACAACCGUGGCACUAAUUAUCUGAUCGCAAUUCUUGUUAUUUUCACCACAGAAUUUUAUCAUUUGACAGGCGUUGUAUAAUUUGUAGCAAGUAAUAAUAAAUAGACUAGAAUAAUGGACUAAAUAAAAAUAGAUGAAACAGCAAAUAGAAUAAAUUUGUAAUAAAUUUCUUCGAUCUCGCGAGUCACAAGUAAGAAUAUAUCGACUGUCAAGAACGCCGUUGAUCUACCCAACAACUUGAUACGUUUUAAAACCGGAUAUCUCAAUAAUCGGACAGAAAGCAAGCUGCGAUACAAAUUGCAUUUGCUGCUGACCGGAUCUUCGUUAUCCGUGUUAUAAGCUAUGCCUGGAAAGAUCUUCGUACGGAAAAUAUUGAAAGAUACGUGCACUGUAUUUUUAACUCGCAUUAGGAUUCGUAAUUGUGAAGAUGAUCGGAUGUUCGAUAUCAGUAUUAGAUAUCAAAUUAACGAAGUAAUUAGUGUGAUGCCAUAUUCUAAAGAUAAUGAGAUCAAAGGAGAAAGGAAAUUUCCCUGAUGUGGAUGACGUUGCAUCCUCGUGGAUUGAUGCAUUUCGCUUUUCGCAACCUGCACCAUUCUUGCCACAUACGUAUACAUAUGUAAUCUAAUAAUAAAACUAUACUGUGUCUGACCGUAAACCAUACAGGCUUUUGUAUGAUACUAUUAUUAAAUUUAAUAGCAAAUGAGUCAACCAGCAUGAAAUUCGCUAUAAAAUCGACUAAAAGUAAUUUGGUGAACGACGAAGAGCUUGAAAGUUUCUUAUGUUUCUUCGUAGCAAAUACAGUAAGUUUCGCAAUUACUUUACUUUAUCAAUAAUUUGUAUACGUCUCUAUAUACUGUUAAAGUAAUAACAUAAUGUUUUAUUAAAUACAAAAUUUAUAUAUAACAGAAUAACUAUUUUAUAUGUAACAGAAUAAUUUAAAGUAUUAACGUACACCGCUUUAUUCUCUUAUACAUUUCAAACAGGAAUGAAUUUGUUUUAUUGCACAUUCAUUCAUUCGAUACAUACGUAAUACGCUCGCUCAUGGCGUUUUUCUUUUGUCUUCCUCUAUUUCAUUCCUCGCUCGUACAAUACAGAUAUGCACACAUUUAUUUUAUAACAUAUACAUACAUCAUAAAUAUAUAGCGCCGAUAAAUUAUAUCGAAAGUGAAGGACGCAGUUUAUUGAAAUAAAACUCGGUUUUUGUGUAAGGUAUAGUAACCAGGCAUCCGAACAACUCUGAAAUUUUAGGAUAGUAAUCUUCUACCAGAAAAUAUUAAAUUUUAAGCCGUUAAUAGACCGCAGCUGCAACGAAUUGCCACGUUUAAACUAAUAUGUACUUCACGAUUUUAUCAUUAAAAGAGGAUUUGAAGCAUCGAGCCAAUAGAAUGUCAGUUUAUAUCUUAAAACAAGUAUAAAAUACGGUAAAAAGUUUCAAGCUUUCACCGAAGCGUUAGUCAGGCAAAUGUUAGUUGGAUGUUACUUUCUUUUGCACUUGUAAAUAUCGCCGAGCAUCAACGCCGAGUGUUGUAAAAGCAUCGAUCACGGAGGAAGUAAAUAGAAUUCGGUGAACGCGAAAGGAUUCCAGCUGGAUGUAUUUAAUAAGAGCGUGUACAGUAAUAAGAGCCAUUUGGAGCGGAUGGAAUGUCGUGGAAUUGAUAUUCUGGCGUAUCGAUAUCGCAUUAGCGGCAUCUAAAUGAAAGGAGACAUCUUCUCUAUAGCGCUCGUGUUAUUAAAUUGAAGAUUUAUAAUUGAAGAUUGCGAUCGUUUACGCAUUUGUAGAGAAUCUCUGAUAGAAAUCGCAAUAAUUAUGUACUUUUUAAAAAUAUUUUUAUAUUAAUAUUAAUGAUACCACAUGAUACUGUAAUGGACGUUUGAUUGUAUAAUUACUACAAUAUUAACUGCAUAAAAUAAUAAUAAAAUACUAUGAACAACAAUGAUAAUAAAAAACCAUUUUUAUAUUGAUACAAAUCGUAAAUAAAAUAUAAGAAUAGUUAGACGUAGGAAAAUGUAUUUCCUGAAACAACAGCAUAAUUUUUAUCGAGUAUUAAAAUUUGAACGAAACAGUUUCUUAACGAAAUUGUUUCAGAAUCGACGCUAAAAAUAUCAGCAAUAAUUUCAUGAAAAAUAGUGAGAUUCAUUUUUCAUUCAUUGAGCGGGAGAUUACGUUUCGUUAAAUAUGCCAAAUUACACGAAACAACUAAUUUGAUACAGAACCGUACUCAUUACCAAAAUCAAUUAUUAUAUUCUCAUCGUAUUCUACGCUAUUGUUUUAAAGUGCAAAAACUUCUAAGAUACGCAUUAUUAUGUGUAAUUUGUUCGUGUGUGCCUUAUUUGGAAAAAGUGUCACAAAAGAGCUGCUGAAGAUGUGUAAAUUAGCAUCUGUAGGAAAUAUUACGUAAGUAUUAGGACGGUACGUUGCUUUGUGGAAAUUUAAGGCUGGUCAUUUUUCAUUUGAAAGGAGCCGAGAGAAAAAGCCGGGAAACGCAAUCGAACGUAAUGUUUGUAAAAAUAUUACCAGAAAUAAUGACGGACAAAGUGUGUCACACGGUUCGAGUGAGAAAAGCAAGGAAGGUGAACGAAUAAAUUCGGCAUGAGUUAAACGAUAUGCAAAAGCUUGGACGAAUAGAUAAAACUAUCAAAAUGAUAAAGAAAUAAACAGCAAUAUAUAGAUUUUUAAAUCUUGUGGCAACGAGCUGAUCAUAUAAUAACAUAAUCGAAAAUAUCAACAAAGGAGAGUAUAAUAUGAACAAUAGAGAAGAACCUUACGAUGACUCUAUUUUGAUGGAGAUUCGCGGAAUUUCUUUAGUUCUAUUUCUCACAAUUUCAGGUUACUCGAAGCAGAAACGAGCAAACAGCUAAACGAAGAUGAAAAUGUAAACAAGUAAAACGAAAUGAAGAUAUAAACAACUAAAUGGAACGCGUGCAGAAUUAGUAGAGAAGCAGAAGUAGAAAAUGGAAGACAAUCCUGCUGCACUACAACGCAAUAGCAUAUACGCGAGCAAUUUUUCAAUGGAUACAUCGACUCGAAAUAAAAUUAAAAGUAAUUGCAAAAGGAGCGUUAGAGAAGUCGUUAAACCAUGGAACUGUUAAAAUCUCGUCUGUAUCGAAGGCGACUUUAUCCCUUCAUCUUAACGUAGCCCGAUAAGAUACUGACUUGAUAUGAUAAAAAUUAUAAUAGCAAUAAUAGCCAAUGAUGUGUUGCAACUUCGUCAUGUUUGACGUGCCAAUUUACCGCGUGUACACGCUCGUGGUAAAUUGUUUCGCCAGUAAAAAGAGCGACGAUGUACAUAAUUGCACGCGAAGCACGUAUGAUUUUUCACGAUCGUGCACCGUACAACGAACAGUGACGUGACAAUGAGCGUGACGUGCAUUGCUGAUCUUUAUUAAAAAAGCUAAUCCCGUAAUGCAAGUCGUUGGCCUGUAUCGCGUAAUUAAGAAACACGCGUGUUGAAAUCGGAGGAUUUGCAAGUGGGUAAGCUUAAGAACGGUAGAGGCAAUUCCUUUCUAUAGAAAGAGGCAACAUUUCUUUUCGCUCAAUUUCUUGCACAACAUACAUAUAUCGAUAUAUGUGAUAAUUUAUUAACGGAAUUAUUGACUGUGAAUUUUGAUACUUUUUAUUACAACAGGUUUUCACAUUCUAUACAUUAUACAUUAUAAACUAUUAGAGAAUGUCUUAAUAAAUGCAGAAAGUAAUUUAGAUUUUCAUUAACUGUACCUUACACAAUAUGUAGUUGAUAGAAGUAUUUGAAUACUUAUAGAAAUCUUUAAAAAUUAUAUUUAAAAAAUUGUAUGAAUAUAUUCUAUGCAUUUCACAACUUGCAAUUUCAUUAGCAGCGAAAUGGAUUCUAGUCACUCAGCUAUCAUCAUAAUAUUAAUACGGUUUGAAGCAAUUUCUGGGAAUAUCUAUACAUAGAAGAUAUUUAUUGCAAGUAUACCUAUAUAUCGCAGAGACUACUUAACCGUCUUACUUAACCGUCAUUUUCGCAAGAUGAUAUGUCCCUCGGCUGUCAAAUUGGCACAGUGGUAAUGCAUCGAUGAAACGAAAAGACAAAUAAUUCAUUUUUCUCUUUGUCGUUCACACGCAUUCGCACUAAUCCUAACGUUCCUUCACAGCUGUCGUAUUUCAAAGGCAAAAUGCUUUAGAAACAUCGUUUCAUAAGUGACCGAACAAAAGAAUCUUUUACUGAAAAAGUAUAUGAAAUUGACACGAAUGACUAAACGCAAGGGUUAAACAUCAGUGAAUUAUCCAUUGUAUUAACAAGCCUAAAUAUUCAGUGGGAUCAUUUUAACACUUAUUAGGUCAUCCCAUAAGUUCGUUCCGUUUUUCGAGCGGUUAUAUAUGUUAAGAUUGUUUACAUACCUUUCAGU